UACGGAGGGAGCUAGCGUUGUUCGGAAUUACUGGGCGUAAAGCGCGCGUAGGCGGCUUUGUAAGUUUAGAGGUGAAAGCCCGGGGCUCAACCCCGGAAUUGCCUUUAAGACUGCAUCGCUUGAAUCCGGGAGAGGUGAGUGGAAUUCCGAGUGUAGAGGUGAAAUUCGUAGAUAUUCGGAAGAACACCAGUGGCGAAGGCGGCUCACUGGACCGGCAUUGACGCUGAGGUGCGAAAGCGUGGGGAGCAAACAGG
rnacentral:rRNA from 1 species